GGUUAUGUUUAUGUCAAACAUUUAUUUGGUGAUUUAUAAACAUCAAGGUCAUCAGCUGCUAUUAAUUUUUAAUUCACCGUCCAAUAAGAUAAAAGCGUACUCACCACGUGUUCACUCAUGUCUCUUGAGUAGAUGGGGGCACGACAGAGACAGAUAUAUAUAUUUCUGCACUCUAGUGUUUACACUCUUUUGCUGCCUUAGUCAGCGAUAUAGGAGAUAGUAUAUAUAUGGUUAGAACCGUUCUUUGAAAAUAACAAAUGGCCGAUGUCUUAAGUUGUCAUCAAACUCGUUAAAAACAAAAUAGAAUUAAAUAAAUGAACGUUAUUCAAGAAAACUAAUAAAUCUUUACACACAAGUUAUGUUAAAUAAGAAAAUAAAAUUGUCAUCCGACUCACUGUGAAAAAGAAAGGAUUGGAGUUCAAUGUGGUAUCUGGAUUAUGGAUUGUCUCUUGUGUUCGGGCACUAACUAAUUUUCUGGAUUGUCUACAGGAUUCUUCUUACGGGAAAUUGAACUGUUUGUUCUUCGGAAAUAGGGUCUUGGAUGAUCUCGAAGAAGUAUCGGUUCUCGGAAUAGGUUGUAGGAUGAUUCACUUUUUAUUUUAAUAUCACAUACAUUGGAGUACACGCCAAAUUUCAACAAUGAGUAAAGUUGCAAAAAUUCAAAUUUAAAUCAAGGAUUUCUUCCUCAAAAUAACGUUAAAACCUCAAACGAUGGAUGAAAAAUGUGCUUUAGGAGCUGAACUACAAUAAUUGAUACAUUUGGAAGUAAACAAAACGGUUUAAGAUAAGAUUUUCACCAACAAAAAAUCUCUCUGUCACAAAUUCUAGGUUAUGUUCUCUCAGUGAACUAAGAGAAUGUUAAAAUUAUUACAUUACGUUUUAAUUUACCAACAUUUGUUAAUCUUCCAUUAAUUUUUCAUCUACAUUUUACCCCACCUCGCAGUCUAAUUAUAAAUACAAGCAGAUAUACAUCAUGUGCCUUUAUAUCUUGCCUGAUAUCAGUUAUCUAUUUAGGUUCACAAAAAAGUAGACUCAAAAACAAUAAUUUAUGAUCAACAUUAUGUCUUUUCUGUAAGAUAUUUUAUUCAUCAAGUUUUUUUACAAUACGAUUUAUUUCAACCUAUUUUUUCUUCAAAAAUGUUCUGGUUUUACAAUUUAAUUAAACAUUGUAUUAACUUCAAAGGAGAAC